AUACAACCUGAAAUUAAUUUCAUCAGUCAUGAGGCUCCGAUCAUGGAAAAUCACUCGUAUUUAUCGCCGAUCUUAUUUUUCCCGUGCCAUUUAAAUUUCCUGGGCUGAGAAAACGACUUUGUACCGGUUUUUAUUCACUUUUAAUGCGGGAGACCCAAUUCACUCGCGCGACCGUACAAAAAUUCGACAUAAAUCGUUCUCGCUACGCAUCAUAAUAAAUUGCCGAGUCGUGCGUCAACUGCAGAUUUAAAUUCAAAUACAUUUGGGUUAUAUCAGUCACUGCUUCCACGAAAUGGCAAAAAUAACAACAAAUGUUUGAAUCAUAAUUCUCUGUCGCGUCCGAAUCGACGUAUUUCCACCCGAAACUCAAAAUAACCUAAUCUAUUUGUUAAACUGAAAAUGUUAAACUUUGAGAAAACAGAUAUGUCAAUUCUAUUAAACGAUUUAAAAAUCGA